AUACAUGCAAGUCGAACGAACUCUGGUAUUGAUUGGUGCUUGCAUCAUGAUUUACAUUUGAGUGAGUGGCGAACUGGUGAGUAACACGUGGGAAACCUGCCCAGAAGCGGGGGAUAACACCUGGAAACAGAUGCUAAUACCGCAUAACAACUUGGACCGCAUGGUCCGAGNUUGAAAGAUGGCUUCGGCUAUCACUUUUGGAUGGUCCCGCGGCGUAUUAGCUAGAUGGUGGGGUAACGGCUCACCAUGGCAAUGAUACGUAGCCGACCUGAGAGGGUAAUCGGCCACAUUGGGACUGAGACACGGCCCAAACUCCUACGGGAGGCAGCAGUAGGGAAUCUUCCACAAUGGACGAAAGUCUGAUGGAGCAACGCCGCGUGAGUGAAGAAGGGUUUCGGCUCGUAAAACUCUGUUGUUAAAGAAGAACAUAUCUGAGAGUAACUGUUCAGGUAUUGACGGUAUUUAACCAGAAAGCCACGGCUAACUACGUGCCAGCAGCCGCGGUAAUACGUAGGUGGCAAGCGUUGUCCGGAUUUAUUGGGCGUAAAGCGAGCGCAGGCGGUUUUUUAAGUCUGAUGUGAAAGCCUUCGGCUCAACCGAAGAAGUGCAUCGGAAACUGGGAAACUUGAGUGCAGAAGAGGACAGUGGAACUCCAUGUGUAGCGGUGAAAUGCGUAGAUAUAUGGAAGAACACCAGUGGCGAAGGCGGCUGUCUGGUCUGUAACUGACGCUGAGGCUCGAAAGUAUGGGUAGCAAACAGGAUUAGAUACCCUGGUAGUCCAUACCGUAAACGAUGAAUGCUAAGUGUUGGAGGGUUUCCGCCCUUCAGUGCUGCAGCUAACGCAUUAAGCAUUCCGCCUGGGGAGUACGGCCGCAAGGCUGAAACUCAAAGGAAUUGACGGGGGCCCGCACAAGCGGUGGAGCAUGUGGUUUAAUUCGAAGCUACGCGAAGAACCUUACCAGGUCUUGACAUACUAUGCAAAUCUAAGAGAUUAGACGUUCCCUUCGGGGACAUGGAUACAGGUGGUGCAUGGUUGUCGUCAGCUCGUGUCGUGAGAUGUUGGGUUAAGUCCCGCAACGAGCGCAACCCUUAUUAUCAGUUGCCAGCAUUAAGUUGGGCACUCUGGUGAGACUGCCGGUGACAAACCGGAGGAAGGUGGGGAUGACGUCAAAUCAUCAUGCCCCUUAUGACCUGGGCUACACACGUGCUACAAUGGAUGGUACAACGAGUUGCGAACUCGCGAGAGUAAGCUAAUCUCUUAAAGCCAUUCUCAGUUCGGAUUGUAGGCUGCAACUCGCCUACAUGAAGUCGGAAUCGCUAGUAAUCGCGGAUCAGCAUGCCGCGGUGAAUACGUUCCCGGGCCUUGUACACACCGCCCGUCACACCAUGAGAGUUUGUAACACCCAAAGUCGGUGGGGUAACCUUUUAGGAACCAGCCGCCUAAG
rnacentral:rRNA from 1 species